AUUGAACGCUGGCGGCAUGCUUUACACAUGCAAGUCGAACGGCAGCGCGGGCUUCGGCCUGGCGGCGAGUGGCGAACGGGUGAGUAAUGCAUCGGAACGUGCCCAGUUGUGGGGGAUAGCCCGGCGAGAGCCGGAUUAAUACCGCAUACGACCUGAGGGUGAAAGCGGGGGACCGAAAGGCCUCGCGCCAUUGGAGCGGCCGAUGUCGGAUUAGCUAGUUGGUGGGGUAAAGGCUUACCAAGGCGACGAUCCGUAGCUGGUCUGAGAGGACGACCAGCCACACUGGGACUGAGACACGGCCCAGACUCCUACGGGAGGCAGCAGUGGGGAAUUUUGGACAAUGGGGGCAACCCUGAUCCAGCCAUGCCGCGUGCGUGAAGAAGGCCUUCGGGUUGUAAACCGCUUUUGUUCGGGAAGAAAUCCUCUGGGCUAAUACCCCGGGGGGAUGACGGUACCGGAAGAAUAAGCACCGGCUAACUACGUG
rnacentral:rRNA from 1 species